CGAAAAGCAGCUUCUUUAGUCAUGCACGUCCACCCAUAAUGUCAUAUAUCUGUAGAACUUAUGCUCUUAUCCUUUUUGUGGCUUUUGUGCUUCUCUGCGUGAUAAAAUAUGAAGGCCCCUCAUCCGCGCUCGCAAGUCCACUUUUCCGACGUAGCAAGUCAAAAGACAGUAGAGGUUUACCGGCAAGCGGGGGAAGAAAGCUAGGUAGCCCUGGAAACCUCGCACAUCAGAGCCCGGAUAGGUUACCGAGAACUGGAAGUAAAGUGGCCGCAUCACGACUCCCAGUGGUCAUGUGACGCGACGUGGACAUGCGGCCUGCUUCUGUGCCCACAUUGUUAACGAGAUAAUUAUAAGGCACCGAAUGGGCAGACACACUCAGGUGGACGUUCACGAAGCCGACAUAAAUAUAAGGCACCGAAUGGGCAGACACACUCAGGUGGACGUUCACGAAGCCAACCAAACUUUAAGGCCACCGAGUGGGCAGACACACUCAGGUAGACGUUCACGAAGCCCGGAAGACCCGGAGAAGAGAAAACGGCGGCUGGAAAGAGUCAGCAGAAUAAUGUGAUGAUGACUACCCCGACUCUUCUCUGGCUUGGUGCCGCACCAUAAUGUUUGUUAUAAACACGCUGACAAUAAAUGUUUUGCUUUA